rnacentral:lncRNA from 1 species
CAUAUAUUUGAGAGGGGAGAAAAAGGAAGGAAGGAAGGAAGAACGAAGGAAGGAAGGAAGGAAGGAAGGAAGGAAGGAAGGAAGGAAGGAAGGAAGGAAGGAAGGAAGGAAGGAAGGAAGGAAGGAAGGAAGGAAGGAAGAGAAGGAAGGAAGGAAGGAAGGAAGGAAGGAAGGAAGGAAGGAAGGAAGGAAGGAAGGAAGGAAGAAAGGAAGAACAAAAAGAAAGAGGGAGGAAGGAAG